UAGAAGCGGCAACAGCUCAAAUUUGAAAUCUGGUCCCCUUUGGGGGCCCGAGUUGUAAUUUGAAGAGGAUGCUUUUGGCGAGGCGCCGUCCGAGUUCCCUGGAACGGGACGCCGCAGAGGGUGAGAGCCCCGUACGGUCGGACGCCGAGCCUCUGUAAAGCUCCUUCGACGAGUCGAGUAGUUUGGGAAUGCUGCUCAAAAUGGGAGGUAAACCCCUUCUAAAGCUAAAUACCGGCCAGAGACCGAUAGCGCACAAGUGGAGUGAUCGAAAGAUGAAAAGCACUUUGAAAAGAGAGUUAAAAAGCACGUGAAAUUGUUAAAAGGGAAGCGCUUGCGACCAGACUUGCGCCCGUCGGAUCAACCGUCGCUUGCGGCGGCGCACUCCGGCGGGCUCAGGCCAGCAUCAGUUCGCCUGGGGGGAGAAAGGCGGCGGGAAUGUGGCUCUUCGGAGUGUUAUAGCCCGCCGUGUAAUACCCUCGGGUGGACUGAGGACCGCGCGUAUGCAAGGAUGCUGGCGUAAUGGUCGUCAGCGACCCGUCUUGAAACACGGACCAAGGAGUCGUCCUAAUAUGCGAGUGUACGGGUGUCAAACCCCUGCGCGUAAUGAAAGUGAACGGAGGUGAGAGCUUCGGCGCAUCAUCGACCGAUCCUGAUGUUAUCGGAUGGAUUUGAGUAAGAGCAUAUUGGGCCGGACCCGAAAGAAGGUGAACUAUGCCUGUGUAGGGUAAAGCCAGAGGAAACUCUGGUGGAGGCUCGCAGCGGUUCUGACGUGCAAAUCGAUCGUCAAACAUGGGCAUGGGGGCGAAAGACUAAUCGAACCUUCUAGUAGCUGGUUUCCGCCGAAGUUUCCCUCAGGAUAGCAGUGUUGAAUUUCUCAGUUUUAUGAGGUAAAGCGAAUGAUUAGGGACUCGGGGGCGCUUUUUAGCCUUCAUCCAUUCUCAAACUUUAAAUAUGUAAGAAGCCCUUGUUACUUCAUUGAACGUGGGCCUUCGAAUGUAUCAACACUAGUGGGCCAUUUUUGGUAAGCAGAACUGGCGAUGCGGGAUGAACCGAUCGCGGGGAUAAGGUGCCGGAGUGGACGCUCAUCAGACACCACAAAAGGUGUUAUCACAUCUAGACAGCAGGACGGUGGCCAUGGAAGUCGGAAUCCGCUAAGGACUGUGUAACAACUCACCUGCCGAAUGUGAUAGCCCUGAAAAUGGAUGGCGCUCAAGCGUCCCACCCAUACCCCGCCCUCAGGGUAGACACGAUGCCCUGAGGAGUAGGCGGACGU
rnacentral:rRNA from 1 species